GGGCUCACUUCGGCACCACAUAUACUAAAAUUGGAACGAAGAUUAGAGAAGAUUAGCAUAGACCCUGCACAAGGAUGACACGCAAAUUCGUGAAGCGUUCCAUAUUUAA